UCUUCACUCGACCAUCAGAACAUUCGAAGCCAUGAUGGACGCAUAUCCAACAGGUUACAAAAAUCCCUCAUACAAAUCCAGAAGAAGACUGGACUCAUUUCACAUUUCAGCCUGAAGUCUAGUAGCAGAAAAUUGGAUAACAGAAAAAGAACCCUAGGUAAAAACAGAUAUGGGAGAGCUCAGUAGAGACAUGCAGGAGAAGGUGAAUUGGAGCAUAGGGAAUUAGCAAACAAUACAUAAAAGAAUGGAGAUCAAUUAAGUGUCCGGGAAUAAGUGGAGGACAGUACUAAUUACAUGUCGAUGGAUGGGACCAGCUUCAAUACUCCCACCUACACUCAGAAGGGAAAUGGGAGCUCCUCAGAGCUUUCAAUUGACUCUGUUGUUGGGAAGAAAUUCAAGUUCCUCCCUUCUCAUCCUCAAGGAGACGCAGUACAACCUCAAGGUGAAGGAUGAAUACUUCCUCGAGUAGCAGCACUUGCAGGAAUCACCAGUCCGUGGUGCAAUCCGGAGCACAACACAUGCAUCUGCCAGUUACAUCCUAAGCACAGAACUGGAGCUUGGUGACACGGAACUUAAAACACGAGGCAAAGCUUGAGAUCCUGAGUCUUCUUCACAACCUUCCGCACACACUGUCAUCAUAUAAAGAGCAUCCUCUGCUGGUGAGUGCGUGGGGUUUUAGAUGUAAAAUGAAUUGUUACUGAUGCUUAGGUGUUGUAUAUUAC